GAUGAACGCUGGCGGCGUGCCUAAUACAUGCAAGUAGAACGCUGAAGCUUGGUGCUUGCACCGAGCGGAUGAGUUGCGAACGGGUGAGUAACGCGUAGGUAACCUGCCUCUUAGCGGGGGAUAACUAUUGGAAACGAUAGCUAAUACCGCAUAAAAGUCGAUAUCGCAUGAUAUUGAUUUGAAAGGUGCAAAUGCAUCACUAAGAGAUGGACCUGCGUUGUAUUAGCUAGUUGGUGAGGUAACGGCUCACCAAGGCGACGAUACAUAGCCGACCUGAGAGGGGGAUCGGCCACACUGGGACUGAGACACGGCCCAGACUCCUACGGGAGGCAGCAGUAGGGAAUCUUCGGCAAUGGGGGCAACCCUGACCGAGCAACGCCGCGUGAGUGAAGAAGGUUUUCGGAUCGUAAAGCUCUGUUGUAAGAGAAGAACGAGUGUGAGAGUGGAAAGUUCACACUGUGACGGUAACUGACCAGAAAGGGACGGCUAACUACGUG
rnacentral:rRNA from 1 species